AUAAGUUAAAUUAGCUACAACUUGUAUCCCAGUUUAAAAUGAUGAAGAUCUUGGAAGAAAGCCCAAGCAUCUCAUGAAAUAAUCUCAGUAAAAAAGAAUGUUCUAAUGUUUUCUCAUAACACAAUGUUCUAAUGUUUUCUCAUAACACCCUCGAAUCAAUGCUUUCCACAAAUUGUUACAACAAUAAUAAUCCCACUCAAAGCUAGUCCCAUUUAAAUAACUUAAAAAACUAGAUUAUCUAAAUGCAAAGGUUUCCU
rnacentral:lncRNA from 1 species